rnacentral:rRNA from 1 species
UACGUAGGUGGCAAGCGUUAUCCGGAUUUAUUGGGCGUAAAGGGAACGCAGGCGGUCUUUUAAGUCUGAUGUGAAAGCCUUCGGCUUAACCGGAGUAGUGCAUUGGAAACUGGGAGACUUGAGUGCAGAAGAGGAGAGUGGAACUCCAUGUGUAGCGGUGAAAUGCGUAGAUAUAUGGAAGAACACCAGUGGCGAGAGCGGCUCUCUGGUCUGUAGCUGACGCUGAGGUUCGAAAGCGUGGGUAGCAAACAGG